GCCAGACUCCUACGGGAGGCAGCAGUGGGGAAUAUUGCACAAUGGGGGAAACCCUGAUGCAGCGACGCCGCGUGAGUGAAGAAGUAUUUCGGUAUGUAAAGCUCUAUCAGCAGGGAAGAAAAUGACGGUACCUGACUAAGAAGCCCCGGCUAACUACGUGCCAGCAGCCGCGGUAAUACGUAGGGGGCAAGCGUUAUCCGGAUUUACUGGGUGUAAAGGGUGCGCAGGUGGCAGGGCACGUCAGAUGUGAAAGCCCGGGGCUCAACCCCGGUAUUGCAUUUGAAACUGUCCGGCUAGAGUGCAGGAGAGGUAAGCGGAAUUCCUAGUGUAGCGGUGAAAUGCGUAGAUAUUAGGAGGAACACCAGUGGCGAAGGCGGCUUACUGGACUGUAACUGACACUGAGGCACGAAAGCGUGGGGAGCAAACAGGAUUAGAUACCCCAGUAGA
rnacentral:rRNA from 1 species